AUUGAACGCUGGCGGCAGGCUUAACACAUGCAAGUCGAGCGGGGUGAUGGUGCUUGCACUAUCACUUAGCGGCGGACGGGUGAGUAAUGCUUAGGAAUCUGCCUAUUAGUGGGGGACAACAUCUCGAAAGGGAUGCUAAUACCGCAUACGUCCUACGGGAGAAAGCAGGGGAUCACCUGUGACCUUGCGCUAAUAGAUGAGCCUAAGUCGGAUUAGCUAGUUGGUGGGGUAAAGGCCUACCAAGGCGACGAUCUGUAGCGGGUCUGAGAGGAUGAUCCGCCACACUGGGACUGAGACACGGCCCAGAAUCCUACGGGAGGCAGCAGUGGGGAAUAUUGGACAAUGGGGGGAACCCUGAUCCAGCCAUGCCGCGUGUGUGAAGAAGGCCUUAUGGUUGUAAAGCACUUUAAGCGAGGAGGAGGCUCUUUUGGUUAAUACCCAAGAUGAGUGGACGUUACUCGCAGAAUAAGCACCGGCUAACUCUGUGCCAGCAGCCGCCGCAG
rnacentral:rRNA from 1 species